rnacentral:rRNA from 1 species
UACAGAGGGUGCGAGCGUUGUUCGGAAUUAUUGGGCGUAAAGCGCAUGUAGGCGGCUUGUUAAGUCGCGUGUGAAAUCUCCAGGCUCAACCUGGAAAGUGCGCGCGAAACUGGCGAGCUUGAGUGUCGGAGAGGGUGGCGGAAUUCCCGGUGUAGAGGUGAAAUUCGUAGAUAUCGGGAGGAACACCAGAGGCGAAGGCGGCGACCUGGGCCAAUAUUGACGCUGGAGGUGCGAAAGCGUGGG